NNNNNNNNNNNNNNNNNNUCUCCAAAAUAUUCACAGAAAUGUAAGGACAUAGGAACUAUUCUUAUUUUACAGAUGGGGAAACUGACUUGCCAGGAGCCAGGUGUCUCACCAGUAAUUGUCCACCUGAGGCCAACCACUGCCACAGGACUGCGGGAUUGGUGACUCAAAUCUGCAGAGCCCAGUGCAAAGUGAAACUGCAAGACCCCUCACUCGAAAAAGAUCACAAGCAGGCGGAGAGGCAGGCAGAGAGAGAGGAGGAAGCAGACUCCCCGCUGAGCAGAGUCUGAUGUGCGGCUCGAACCCAGGACCCUGAGAUCAUGACCUCAGUCAAAGGCAGCGGCUUAACCCACUGAGCCACCCAG
rnacentral:lncRNA from 1 species